CUCUAGAGAUUGGGCUAGUCGGGUUGUUACGUGAUGCUUAGGGGCUGCGUUCGUGACUGGGCGGCGAGCUUCGGUGAGCUGUUCGGGCUAGUAGCGUGGCCCGUAGGUGGAUCGUUUCAGCUUGGUCUGCGUUCGUUUCGGCGUGCGUAGUCUUCGGCUAGCGCUUAACAAUCGAAUCUAGAACUGGUACGGACUGGGGGAAUCCGACUGUCUAAUUAAAACAGAGGAGACAGAUGGUCUCUGAAAGACGUUGACUGUCUCUGAUUUCUGCCCAGUGCUCUGAAUGUUAAUUUAAGGAAAUUUGAGUAAGCGCGGGUAAACGGCGGGAGUAACUAUGACUCUCUUAAGGUAGCCAAAUGCCUCGUCAUUUAAUUAGUGACGCGUAUGAAUGGAUUAACGAGAUUCCCACUGUCCCUAACUACUAUCUAGCGAAACCACAGCCAAGGGAACGGGCUUGGCAAAGACAGCGGGGAAAGAAGACCCUGUUGAGCUUGACUCUAGUCUGACUUUGUGAAGAAUCAUGCAUGGUGUAGUAUAAGUGGGAGUGUUUCGGCACGUCAGUGAAAUACCACUACUUUCAUCGUUUCCUUACUUAUUCGGUAAUACGGGGAACGUUUUCUCUGAAAACUUGUGAUUG
rnacentral:ncRNA from 1 species